AAGUGUCCCGCAGCCAGAGUUGGAUCUAGGAGGGAGGGGAGCCCCGGGACUGCUGCCAGGGCUCGCUACGGAGCCGGGCUGCGCUGGGUGGCAGCGCCUCUGUCAAUCAGCCUGACUCCACUCCCGCACGCCUGUGUGCUCCAGCUGCCUCCUUGUGUCUCUGCUUCGCUGCGCUCACAGAGCGGCCGCCGCUGCUGCUGGGUGCAUGCACCAGGGGACCGGAGCGGGGCUGACGCGUCCCCGCCGCGUUCCCGGCGGCACCGGGCUGCCCUCAGUUGGCGCUGGGUAGCGGCGGGGAACUUUAACGCUGGCUCCAAGUGUUGGGCUCGGUCUGCGGUUCAGCUGCAAUGGAUCCUCCAGCGGGGAUCGCCUGUCUGCUGCUCUGCUGUGCGCUCUUCCUGCCCGGGAGCGCCCUGCAGAGCUCCAGGGAGAGAGAUCCUAUUUUGAGGAAUAUAGAGGAAUACAGACUUGUCGUCCCAAUCAGCACAGAUUCAGAGGGCAGGUUCCUAUCUAAUCUGGUGUCUGGACCUCCAAGGGGGCGCUUCCGAAGAGAUGCUGGGGAUAUGCAACAUGAAGCUUCAAAUGAGCAAAUAUUUUAUAAUGUCACUGUUUUUGGAAGAGAGUUUCACUUCAGGCUGAGACUGAACUCUAGGCUGGUUGCCCCUGGAGCAACAAUUGAAUGGCAAGAGGAUUCUAAUGUGACUCAUAUUGAACCACUCCAUGGGAAUUGCCUAUAUGUUGGGGAUAUCACUGAUUUGCCUAACGCUUCAGUUGCUAUAAGCAACUGUGAUGGGCUGGCUGGCAUGAUUCGCACAGACAAGGACGAGUUCUUCAUUGAGCCUCAGGAGAAGGGCAGUCAGGAGGAAGACGGAGGCAGGACGCAUGUGGUAUAUCGCAGAGCAGCUGUCAAGAAGCCACAUCCCACGGAGAACACAGAUAUCCAGUAUAAAGCAGCUGACCUGAGUAAUCUGGAUAACCUUGUCAGUAUGCUGAGCCUCAUUGAAGACCGAGUAAAUAACUCAAGAAAGAGAUAUCGGAGGCAUGCGACUGAUGAUGACUACAACAUUGAAGUUCUCCUGGGAGUUGAUGACUCGGUUGUACAGUUCCAUGGAAAAGAACAUGUACAGAAGUACCUUCUGACUCUGAUGAAUAUCGUGAAUGAAAUCUACCAUGACGAGUCCUUAGGUGCCCACAUUAAUGUUGUCUUGGUGAGGAUAGUCUUGCUGAGCUAUGGGAAAUCCAUGAGCUUAAUAGAGAUUGGGAACCCUUCGCAGAGUUUGGAGAAUGUAUGUCGCUGGGCCUAUCUACAACAGAAGCCUGACACUGCACAUGCAGAAUAUCAUGACCAUGCUAUUUUUCUCACAAGGCAGGAUUUUGGUCCAUCUGGCAUGCAAGGCUAUGCUCCAGUUACUGGAAUGUGUCAUCCUGUACGAAGUUGCACCCUCAACCAUGAAGAUGGUUUUUCCUCUGCAUUUGUGGUGGCCCAUGAAACUGGGCAUGUAUUAGGCAUGGAGCAUGAUGGCCAGGGCAACAGGUGUGGGGAUGAGGUCCGAAUGGGGAGCAUCAUGGCCCCUCUUGUCCAGGCUGCAUUCCAUCGCUUCCACUGGUCUCGCUGUAGCCAACAAGAGCUGAACAGAUAUCUACAUUCCUAUGAUUGUCUGCGUGAUGAUCCUUUUGAACAUGAUUGGCCUUCCCUUCCCCAGCUGCCAGGAAUUCACUACUCCAUGAAUGAGCAGUGCCGUUUUGAUUUUGGUUUGGGCUACAUGAUGUGCACAGCUUUCCGUACGUUUGAUCCCUGCAAGCAGCUGUGGUGUAGCCAUCCUGAUAACCCUUAUUUCUGCAAAACAAAGAAGGGACCGCCACUGGAUGGGACUAUGUGCGCGCCUGGAAAGCACUGCUUUAAAGGUCACUGCAUCUGGUUAACUCCAGAUAUCUUGAAACAGGAUGGAAAUUGGGGAGCAUGGAGUAAGUUUGGCUCCUGUUCUCGAACCUGUGGUACAGGGGUAAAAUACAGGACACGGCAAUGUGACAAUCCACACCCAGCUAACGGAGGCCGUACAUGCAUGGGGCCAACCUAUGAGUUCCAGCUUUGCAGCACUCAAGAUUGUCCUCAGCAGUUUGAUGAUUUCAGAGAGGAGCAGUGUAGACAAUGGGAUCCUUACUUUGAAUAUCAGAAUACAAAACACCACUGGCUCCCAUAUGAGCAUCUCGAUGCUAAAGAAAGGUGCCAACUGUACUGUGAGUCCAAGGAGACUGGUGACGUAGUGUAUUUGAAACGAAUGGUACAUGAUGGAACCCGCUGCUCAUAUAAAGAUUUUUAUAGCAUCUGUGUGCGAGGGGAUUGUUUGAAAGUUGGAUGUGACAGGGUAAUAGGUUCCUCUAAGCAAGAAGAUAAGUGUGGUGUCUGUGGCGGAGAUAACUCCCACUGCAAGGUGGUGAAAGGAACGUUCUCCAGGACACCAAAGAAACCAGGGUACAUUAAGAUGUUUGAAAUUCCUGCUGGUGCAAGACACUUGCUUGUACAAGAAACAGAUGCCACCAUUCAUAAUCUUGCCAUUAAGAAUCGAGAAACAGGGAAAUUCAUUUUAAAUGAAGACAACUACGUACCGGAUUCUAAAGUAUUUGUUGACAUGGGUGUAGAAUGGGAAUACCGGAAUGAUGACGAUAGAGAAACAGUGCAGACCAUGGGGCCUUUGCGCAGUGGUAUAGUCAUUCUGGUGAUUCCUCAUGGCGGUGCCAAGGUUUCUUUGACUUACAAGUACAUGAUCCAUGAAGACUCCUUAAAUGUAGAUAACAACAAUGUUUUGGAAGAUGAUUCAGUAACAUAUGAAUGGGCUCUGAAAAAAUGGUCGCAGUGUUCAAAGCCCUGUGGAGGAGGUUAUCAGUUUACGAAAUAUGGCUGCCGGAGGAAGACAGACCACAAGAUGGUUCAUCGGAGAUUCUGCGAGACGAUCCAAAAGCCAAAGCCUAUUCGCAGAGUGUGCAAUCUGCAGGAAUGUUCCCAACCAAUAUGGGUUACAGGAGAUUGGGAGCCCUGCAGCAAAAGCUGUGGAAAAACAGGAUAUCAAGUACGUUCUGUACGGUGUAUCCAACCCCUGCAUGACAACACAAAUCGUUCUGUUCAUACCAAAUAUUGCAACAAUGAUCGUCCAGAAGGCAAAAGGUCUUGCAAUCGAGCACUUUGCCCUGCACAGUGGAGGAUAGGACCCUGGUCACAGUGCUCUGUAACUUGUGGAAACGGCACCCAGGAACGGCAGGCUUUGUGCAGGACGAGAGAGAAUGCUAGUGGCUAUUGUAAAGAUGACAAACCGGAAACAAUGAGGAUCUGCAGACUCUCUCUAUGCCCCAGAAAUGUUUCUGAUCCAUCAAAGAAAACCUAUAUGAUACAAUGGCUGUCGAGACCAGAUGGAGAUUAUCCCAUCCAGAAAAUAUCUUCAAGUAAAAGACCCAUUUAUAACUCUGCCUUUGCCCUUACAUGCAUGCCACAUCAAAUGUGGACUUUGCCUUUUGCUCUUUUCUUCUCUAUCUAUGGAAAAUUCCCUUGACUUUACCAAGUUAAAUCUUGGGCUGAAUCUUUUUUUCGCACUGGGCCCUUGGUGCGCAGUGUCUUUCUUCUCUGGAGCUCGUGCACCAAUGAUGGCGGAGGUCUUGGAGUUGUUGGAUGUGUGAAGUAGGAUCUCUGCAGUAUGUUGUAUGUUGCACUCCUCUGAAAGGGCGCUGGGGUCAGUUUGCUUGUUGGUUGGUGAUGGUGAAAAAAGGCUUACUGGUUCAUGAUGUUCAGUUUGAUAGCAAAACUGAGAACUUAUUGUGAAUGUGAUCACAUCACAAUGAUGACACCGUGUAGUGCUAAAGUUCUCCUUUAUCUAAAGGCUCUGAAUCUCAUAACAUGCUAGUUUUCCUUUCAGGGGUAGUUUGUUGGAUGAAAGAAUUCAUUCCAGUUUCUGUUGCAGUGUCAUUGCUUACUUAUCCAUGCUGCUCAACUUUAUUCCUAACUUACUAACUGUGUUUGUUUUUGUGAAGAGCUUAUUAUUACAAGUAGCUCAGUUUCUGUUGAUAUUUUAAAUGCUGCUAUUGUGCUGUACGCUUUCUUCAAACUCCUACCUGUUUUGAAUAUUUUCUUUUCAAAAGCUGCAAGGUUCUUUUUUUCUGCAUAGAGUUUUGCAUAUUUUUCCUAUGUUUUGUUAAAUGUAAGUGGUCCAAGCUAUAAAGGUUUGUUGUUGGUGGUGUUUUUUAAACAUAGUUGAGCAAUAUGACAUUUUCAUUGACUAUGAUGUCUCAAGUUGCUCAACAUUGAACUACUUAUGAUCAUUACAUCCAUUGGUCUUUUUUCACCAUAUGCAUGUUUGACUUGAUGGGUAUGAUUGUGUGUGUGUAUGUUCUAUCUAUGUGUCAACUGGCAAACAUAACAGUGUGAACAACUACAGAAUUACCUCAAUUUUUAUUGCUUUUUUUUUUUUUGCAUAGAAAAAAAUAAAUAAAUUUUAGAAAAAUGCCUUAAUGUUUAAAUGUAAUGGCAUUAAGUACCAGAUCCAGCUUUAAAUACAAACAGUACACUGGAACAUGAGUUAAUCUUCAUAAAUAGCAUUUUUACUUGAAUGAUAAAAUAUUGGCAGGAAGUAAAUUUAAUCAAAGGUUAAUUUGCACAGUCCAUGUACAUUUCAUAAAGAAAAGGUCAUUAUUUAAUGUCUCAAAAUUUAAUUGCCAUUGUUGCUUCACCUUAUGUGUUUGUGUUGAAGAUUUGGAAUUCACUAUGCAUAAAACCAUUUGUGACAUCAAGUAAUAGUAGAAACAUAUCAAUUUUUAAACAGUCUUUGAGUUACAUAGUAAAUUGCUACCUUAUUCCACUGAUCCUAUCCUUUAGAAAGGUGGCACUUUCAAAUCUUUGGCUCUUCAGCAAUGUAGCACUUCAAACUUGUCAUUAUCAUGUGAUCACAUAUUUAAAUUUUGCUGUUAAUAUAAUAAUUUCCUGAAACAUGUUAAUGAUUUACAUGACAAGGUGAAAAAGCAAAGAGACAUCCCUGGCACUGAAUACUGUUAUGUAAAAUAAUUGGUGUUUAACUGUAUAAAUAUAUUCAUGACUGUUACCUUUAAAUAGACAAAUGUUUAGUGAUGUUUCAAGAUAUGGAUGGCUAUAGAGAAUGGUGCAAUAAAGGUAUCUGGGCAUUGUGCACUAUGUCUAUAUGCACUUUGGUUUAUCAGGGAUAUUUUAUUAGUGUUUUGUAUGUAUUGAACGUUAAUAUUAAAGAUGUGCCAAUUCAUCUUGCUUUCCAAUAUUUUUAUUAGACCAAUUUAAUGUGUACCAAAGUGACUUUGAAACUGACUUAUUUUUUUCUUAGUGAUGAUUUGAAGGCAUACUGCCAGUCUGUCAUGCAUAUUGCAAAUAAAACAAAAGUUCAGCACAUCUGACUAUUUUGGUUUGGAAAGACAAUAUACUUUUCAUUUUGAUCUUCAUGAGUUGCAAGGUUUUGGAAAUUUAUUCAUGUAAAAUAUAUGAAACUAAACUUUUAUUAGAUACUGGAAUUUGAUUCUCGUGUAAUUUUUAUGCUUGAUUACUGCAUGUUUUUGCUUUAAAAAAGGCAUUUUUCUAAAGAGGCGUCUAUUGACUCUUAUAAUAUAGAGACGAGAAUGGCUGUGUCUUUUGAACCUAAAUUUAAAUGUUAGCUUGCAGAAAAUUCAACAGGUACUGUAAAUUUGGAAAAGCUUGUACUAAAGCCACAUAGGGAAAUCUGUUCAAGGGAGCCUCAACAUGAUCUAUCAAACUUUCUUCAUGCAGAAGUUUUGCAUGCAAAAACUUGCACACACUAAAUUGUAUCUGCAGGCUUGAAGCCGCUUUGAAAAUUUGUCCAAAACUCAAUUACUGUUCUCAGAUUUCCAGGAAGGAGUUCCUUCUGAUUGUUGUCUGAGUUUAUCAUCCGAAAAUAAAUUGACAAAUUAAAAUAAGAACCAUAUUUUUGUUUUUCUACAGAAAAUGCAAUAAUCAAUGGAUAAAUGGGUUCAUUUAAAGACAAGUAGUUUCAGUCUUGUCAAUCAACCCUAGCUUUUCAAAACAAGAGCAAUAGUUAUUAGCAUAUGUUAGACUGAUAUGUUUGCCAAUUAAACACUAUAACUCCCUAUAUUUUUAACUGAGCAUGAAUGAAGAGCUGACACCUAUGCUUUCUAAAUUCACAUAUUUCUGAAUCUGCUGUGGUGCUGUAAUUUGCUGCAAUGUUGCUGAGAGCUUAAAUAAAAGGGUGGCAAAGUAUAGUAUCAGUAAUGCUAAACAUAUGUGGCUUUAUGUAUAUUCUGCAAUCAGGUAUACUGUGAAUUAAGAAAAAUAUUUGAAAUUAUAUAUCUUGUCCUAUAAGAGUUCACAACAACUUCUGUUAUCAUUACUAGUCAAUAGGUAUGAUUGUGUUCCCAUGAUAAUGCAGGAACUCUCACCUACAGCUGGCUCCUGGGUUACUGCAGACGACGGCCCCGGGGCUUAUAAAGUGACAGGGAACGUUGCCAAGGAGACAAGUCCAUGUUUUGUCGCAUGGAAGUUCUCUCUCGUUACUGUUCAAUGCCUGGUUACAAUAAGCUGUGUUGCAAGUCCUGUAACAUGUAUAACAACAUAACAGAGGAUGAUAAUGUA